AUUGAACGCUGGCGGCAGGCCUAACACAUGCAAGUCGAACGGUAGCACAGAGAGCUUGCUCUCGGGUGACGAGUGGCGGACGGGUGAGUAACGUCUGGGAAACUGCCCGAUGGAGGGGGAUAACUACUGGAAACGGUAGCUAAUACCGCAUAACGUCACAAGACCAAAGUGGGGGACCUUCGGGCCUCACACCAUCGGAUGUGCCCAGAUGGGAUUAGCUAGUAGGUGGGGUAAUGGCUCACCUAGGCGACGAUCCCUAGCUGGUCUGAGAGGAUGACCAGCCACACUGGAACUGAGACACGGUCCAGACUCCUACGGGAGGCAGCAGUGGGGAAUAUUGCACAAUGGGCGCAAGCCUGAUGCAGCCAUGCCGCGUGUAUGAAGAAGGCCUUCGGGUUGUAAAGUACUUUCAGCGGGGAGGAAGGCGGUGAAGUUAAUAGCUUCACCGAUUGACGUUACCCGCAGAAGAAGCACCGGCUAACUCCGUGCCAGCCGCCGCUGUAAAAC
rnacentral:rRNA from 1 species